AGGUAUCGUAAUUGAAGAGGUUUGGAAAGACCCACCACAGAAGGUAAUAGUCCUGUAUGUUAAACGAGAAGACUUCAGAUAUGAUCCAGAGUACCACGGGACACGUGAAACCCUGUGGGAAGCAGGAGGGACCACCCUCCAAGGCUAAAUACUACCUAGUGACCGAUAGCGUAUAGUACCGUGAGGGAAAGGUGAAAAGAACCCCGGGAGGGGAGUGAAAUAGAACCUGAAACCCUGCACUUACAAGCUGUGGAAGCACAUUUCUUGUGUGACCGCGUACUUUUUGUAGAACGGGCCAACGAGUUACGUUAAGUAGCAAGGUUAAGCACUUAAGGUGCGGAGCCGUAGCGAAAGCGAGUUUUAACUGAGCGUUCAGUUACUUGACGUAGACCCGAAACCGGGCGACCUACCCAUGAGCAGGAUGAAGCGAAAGUAAAAUUUCGUGGAGGUCCGAACCCACGAGCGUUGAAAAGCUCGGGGAUGACUUGUGGGUAGCGGUGAAAUUCCAAUCGAGCCCGGAGAUAGCUGGUUCUCCCCGAAAUAGCUUUAGGGCUAGCCUCAAGGUGAGAGAUACGGAGGUAGAGCACUGAAUGUCCUAGGGGGUAUUGCACCUACCGAAGACUAUCAAACUCCGAAUGCCGUCAUCUUAUACUUGGGAGUCAGACUGUGGGUGAUAAGAUUCAUAGUCGAAAGGGCAACAGCCCAGAUCGUCAGCUAAGGUCCCUAAAUGUAAGUUAAGUGGUAAAGGAUGUGGGAUUGCACAGACAACCAGGAUGUUGGCUUAGAAGCAGCCACUCAUUCAAAGAGUGCGUAAUAGCUCACUGGUCGAGUGAUCCUGCGCCGAAGAUUUCCGGGGCUAAAACUUACUACCGAAGCUACGGCAUCAGUAAUGAUGGGUAGGGGAGCUUCCCAUACGGGUUGAAGCAUGACCGUAAGGACAUGUGGACAGUAUGGGAGUGAGAAUGUUGGCAUGAGUAGCGAGAUGUGGGUGAGAAUCCCACAGGCCGUAAACCCAAGGUUUCCAGGGGAAGGUUCGUCCGCCCUGGGUUAGUCGGGACCUAAGCUGAGGCCGAAAGGCGUAGGUGAUGGACAACAGGUUGAUAUUCCUGUACUACCGAUAACCGUUUGAGAGAAGGGAUGACACAGUAGGAUAAGCUAAGCACACUGUUGGUUAUGUGUGCCCAAGCAUUGAGGCAGUCAAAGUAGGCAAAUCCGCUUUGAUAAUGCUGGGAUGUGAUGGGGAGCGAAAUUUAGUAGCGAAGUAGCUGAUUUCACACUGUCAAGAAAAGUCUCUAUCGAGGUUAAAGGUACCCGUACCGCAAACCGACACAGGUGGGUGAGGAGAGUAUCCUAAGGCCAGCGAGAGAACUGUUGUUAAGGAACUCGGCAAAAUGACCCCGUAACUUAGGGAUAAGGGGUGCCACCAUCAGGUGGCCGCAGAGAAUAGGCCCAAGCGACUGUUUACCAAAAACAUAGGUUUCUGCUAAGUCGCAAGACGAUGUAUAGGAGCUGACGCCUGCCCGGUGCUGGAAGGUUAAGGGGAUCUGUUAGAGCAAUCGAAGCAGUGAACUUAAGCCCCAGUAAACGGCGGCCGUAACUAUAACGGUCCUAAGGUAGCGAAAUUCCUUGUCGGGUAAGUUCCGACCCGCACGAAAGGCGUAACGAUUUGGGCACUGUCUCAACAACAGACUCGGUGAAAUUGUAAUUCCGGUGAAGAUGCCGGAUACCUGCGACAGGACGGAAAGACCCCAUGGAGCUUUACUGUAGCUUGACAUUGGGUCUUGGUACUACAUGUACAGGAUAGGUGGGAGGCUUUGAAACCAGGACGCCAGUUUUGGCGGAGCCAUCCUUGGGAUACCACCCUUGUAGUACUGGGACUCUAACCAUAGGCCAUGAAUCUGGUCUUGGGACACUGUCAGGUGGGCAGUUUGACUGGGGCGGUCGCCUCCCAAAAGGUAACGGAGGCGCUCAAAGGUUCUCUCAGUACGGUCGGAAAUCGUACGUAGAGUGUAAAGGCAAAAGAGAGCUUGAUUGCAAGACAUACAGGUCGAGCAAGGAUGAAAAUCGGACUUAGUGAUCCGGUGGUUCUGCGUGGAAGGGCCAUCGCUCAACGGAUAAAAGCUACCCUGGGGAUAACAGGCUUAUCUCCCCCAAGAGUCCACAUCGACGGGGAGGUUUGGCACCUCGAUGUCGGCUCAUCACAUCCUGGGGCUGUAGUAGGUCCCAAGGGUUGGGCUGUUCGCCCAUUAAAGUGGUACGCGAGCUGGGUUCAGAACGUCGUGAGACAGUUCGGUCCCUAUCCGUCGCAGGCGUAGGAAAUUUGAGAAGACCUGUCCUUAGUACGAGAGGACCGGGAUGGACGUACCUCUGGUGUACCAGUUGUUCUGCCAAGGGCAUGGCUGGGUAGCUAUGUACGGAAUGGAUAAGCGCUGAAAGCAUCUAAGCGCGAAGCCAACUUCAAGAUAAGAUUUCCCACCGCAAGGGUAAGACCCCAGAAAGACUAUCUGGUUGAUAGGUCGAAGGUGUAAGUGCAGCAAUGUAUUUAGCUUAUCGAUACUAAUAGGUCGAGGACUUGACCAA
rnacentral:rRNA from 1 species